rnacentral:rRNA from 1 species
GAUGAACGCUGGCGGCGUGCCUAAUACAUGCAAGUCGAGCGAACAGACGAGGAGCUUGCUCCUCUGACGUUAGCGGCGGACGGGUGAGUAACACGUGGAUAACCUACCUAUAAGACUGGGAUAACUUCGGGAAACCGGAGCUAAUACCGGAUAAUAUAUUGAACCGCAUGGUUCAAUAGUGAAAGACGGUUUUGCUGUCACUUAUAGAUGGAUCCGCGCCGCAUUAGCUAGUUGGUAAGGUAACGGCUUACCAAGGCAACGAUGCGUAGCCGACCUGAGAGGGUGAUCAGCCACACUGGAACUGAGACACGGUCCAGACUCCUACGGGAGGCAGCAGUAGGGAAUCUUCCGCAAUGGGCGAAAGCCUGACGGAGCCACGCCGCGUGAGUGAUGAAGGUCUUCGGAUCGUAAAACUCUGUUAUUAGGGAAGAACAAAUGUGUAAGUAACUAUGCACGUCUUGACGGUACCUAAUCAGAAAGCAACGGCUAACUACGUG